GUCCGCGUCUGCUGUGAAAUCCCGAGGCUCAACCUCGGGCCUGCAGUGGGUACGGGCAGACUAGAGUGCGGUAGGGGAGAUUGGAAUUCCUGGUGUAGCGGUGGAAUGCGCAGAUAUCAGGAGGAACACCGAUGGCGAAGGCAGAUCUCUGGGCCGUAACUGACGCUGAGGAGCGAAAGGGUGGGGAGCAAACAGGCUUAGAUACCCUGGUAGUCCACCCCGUAAACGUUGGGAACUAGUUGUGGGGUCCAUUCCACGGAUUCCGUGACGCAGCUAACGCAUUAAGUUCCCCGCCUGGGGAGUACGGCCGCAAGGCUAAAACUCAAAGGAAUUGACGGGGACCCGCACAAGCGGCGGAGCAUGCGGAUUAAUUCGAUGCAACGCGAAGAACCUUACCAAGGCUUGACAUAUACGAGAACGGGCCAGAAAUGGUCAACUCUUUGGACACUCGUAAACAGGUGGUGCAUG
rnacentral:rRNA from 1 species